rfam:Exophiala mesophila strain CBS 40295 unplaced genomic scaffold supercont1.1, whole genome shotgun sequence.
GGAGACGUGGCCGAGUGGUUAUGGCGCAAGUUUCAGGCUAACUGGAACAUGCUUCCGAGGAAGUACUAUACUUGUGGGAAACCGCAUGGGUUCGAAUCCCAUCGUCUUCA